CUGGGAAUGCUGACCAUGGGACAACAUCUUCGCUGGUGUGAAUAGCCCUCCUCGCGAACAUCUUUUCUUCCUUUACAUAUCACCUUUCUUCUGCCUAUGGGAAUGCAUAGCCUUCCAAUAUUGGGCUGAAACAUCCAUCAUUAU
rnacentral:lncRNA from 11 species